rnacentral:rRNA from 1 species
GAUGAACGCUGGCGGCGUGCCUAAUACAUGCAAGUCGAGCGAACAGAUGAGGAGCUUGCUCCUCUGACGUUAGCGGCGGACGGGUGAGUAACACGUGGAUAACCUACCUAUAAGACUGGGAUAACUUCGGGAAACCGGAGCUAAUACCGGAUAAUAUAUUGAACCGCAUGGUUCAAUAGUGAAAGACGGUUUUGCUGUCACUUAUAGAUGGAUCCGCGCCGCAUUAGCUAGUUGGUAAGGUAACGGCUUACCAAGGCAACGAUGCGUAGCCGACCUGAGAGGGUGAGCAGCCACACUGGAAAUGAGACACGGUCCAGACUCCUACGGGAGGCAGCAGGGGGGAAUAUUGCACAAUGGGCGAAAGCCUGACGAAGCAACGCCGCGGGAAUGAUGAAGGUCUUCGGAUCGUAAAGCUCUUUUAUCGGGGAAGAACAAAUGAGUAAGUAACUAUGCGCGUCUUGACGGUACCUUAAGAGAAAGCCACGGCUAACUCCGUG